CAGAGCAAACCCCUAAAAAGCCAUCCCAGUUCGGAUUGCAGGCUGCAACCCGCCUGUAUGAAGUUGGAAUCGCUAGUAAUCGCGGAUCAGCAUGCCGCGGUGAAUACGUUCCCGGGCCUUGUACACACCGCCCGUCACACCAUGAGAGUCGGGAACACCCGAAGUCCGUAGCCUAACCGCAAGGAGGGCGCGGCCGAAGGUGGGUUCGAUAAUUGGGGUGAAGUCGUAACAAGGUACC
rnacentral:rRNA from 1 species